CACACCUGUAGCACAGGUAGAGGAACACUAACACACCUGUAGCACAGGUAGAGGAACACUAACACACCUGUAGCACAGGUAGAUGAACAGUAACACACCUGUAGCACAGGUAGAGGAACACUAACACACCUGUAGCACAGGUAGAGGAACAGUAACACACCUGUAGCACAGGUAGAUGAACAGUAACACACCUGUAGCACAGGUAGAGGAACACUAACACACCUGUAGCACAGGUAGAGGAACGCUAACACACCUGUAGCACAGGUAGAGGAACGCUAACACACCUGUAGCACAGGUAGAGGAACGCUAACACACCUGUAGCACAGGUAGAGGAACGCUAACACACCUGUAGCACAGGUAGAGGAACGCUAACACACCUGUAGCACAGGUAGAGGAACAGUAACACACCCGUAGCACAGGUAGAGGAACGCUAACACACCUGUAGCACAGGUAGAGGAACGCUAGCACACCUGUAGCACAGCACCAAACUGUUCAGCAGCUCCUGUAAAGUCUAAGACUGUAACUGAAUGUGGUUGGAGCUCAUUCUUCUGGGAAAAGUGCUGAAAUAAAAUUCUUCUAAUACCAAAUCAGAAAACCUUCCAUGGGUCCUGUCGCAGACAUAAAUCUUCUACUGUAUUUCUCUGCUUAUAUGAUGACAUUAAAGGAACUCUGCUCUGCUCUGCUGACCCACUGAUGGAUGGUUUGAUCAGACCUCAACAGGAAGUUUCCUCAUUCCUAUUCCAGAUGUUUUCAAACAGCCAGAU